UCCUAGUUAGCUUAGUUGGUAGUGCGUCUGCCUUGUAAGCGCUAGGCCGCGGGUUCGAUUCCCGCCCGGGGCA
rnacentral:tRNA from 1 species